GCAGUCGAACGAGCGAGAGGGAGCUUGCUUUCUCGAGCGAGUGGCGAACGGGUGAGUAACGCGUGAGGAACCUGCCUCAAAGAGGGGGACAACAGUUGGAAACGACUGCUAAUACCGCAUAAGCCCACGGGUCGGCAUCGACCAGAGGGAAAAGGAGCAAUCCGCUUUGAGAUGGCCUCGCGUCCGAUUAGCUAGUUGGUGAGGUAACGGCCCACCAAGGCAACGAUCGGUAGCCGGACUGAGAGGUUGAACGGCCACAUUGGGACUGAGACACGGCCCAGACUCCUACGGGAGGCAGCAGUGGGGAAUAUUGCACAAUGGGGGAAACCCUGAUGCAGCGACGCCGCGUGGAGGAAGAAGGUCUUCGGAUUGUAAACUCCUGUUGUUGAGGAAGAUAAUGACGGUACUCAACAAGGAAGUGACGGCUAACUACGUGCCAGCAGCCGCGGUAAAACGUAGGUCACAAGCGUUGUCCGGAUUUACUGGGUGUAAAGGGCGUGUA
rnacentral:rRNA from 1 species